rnacentral:lncRNA from 1 species
UUUCGUUCAUUAACAAAAGGAAGUUUCUCUAUUUUGCCCCCAUCCUCACCGAUUUUCCCUCCCCUUCUAUCGAUAUCUGAUUUGCACAUCCUCUUAACAAGGAAUGGAUUAUGAUUUGGUCAUAUAUAUCACCAUCUUCAUAGAGCAGAACGUCACUCCUCUGGAACCCUAAAAUUUGCCCAGUUCGUUGUGAUUUUCAUCAUCAGACACGAAAUCAGUGUUGUUUAUGUGUUGAUGAAGAACGCAAAUUUGGAUGGGUAAAGACUAUGCUUGAAGAUAUUGCUUGACGUGAUAUACGAUGACUUUUGGAUUAUUUUUAUUUUUUUUUUUAUUUUGCAGAUCCUGGAUGAUUGUUAAUUAUUUUGGUUGGAAACUUUUGAAUAUAUUUUGAAUUAUAUUAGUUAGGAUAGGAGUUGGCCAGAAAGUCCAAAUUUCCUAAAAAGUGUAAAAAGUCAUAAAACACCGUAAUGUCAACCAUAAAACACACCAAAAACCCACAAAUAAUAUGAUGAAGAUUACUAAAACAUCAUGUAUGUGGGUUUUGUGUUGUGUUUUAGAUGUUAAGGCUCUGAUUGUGGAAUGACAAAUAUUAUUGUGUUUUAUGUUGUUUAGCAUUGUGUGUUUUAUAUUCAUAGUUCUACGAUGGUGUGUUUAAAGUUUUUAUGGACUGUUAGAGUUUGAAUAUGGUGUUUUAGUAAUACCCAUUCUAUUAUUUGUGAGUUUUAGGUGUGCUUUAUGCCUGAAAUUAUUGUGUUUUAUGACUUUUUACACUUUUUAGGAAAAACACACUUUCCGUAGGAUCC